GGAAAGGUGGCCGAGUUGGUUUAAGGCGCACGCCUGGAAAGCGUGUGUGGGGCUCCCUCCACCGCGGGUUCAAAUCCCGCCCUUUCCG
rnacentral:tRNA from 1 species